UACGGAGGGUGCAAGCGUUGUCCGGAUUUAUUGGGUUUAAAGGGUGCGUAGGCGGCCUAUUAAGUCAGUGGUGAAAGCCUCCAGCUCAACUGGAGAACUGCCAUUGAUACUGAUAGGCUUGAGUACAGUCGAGGUAGGCGGAAUUGAUUGUGUAGCGGUGAAAUGCAUAGAUGCAAUCAAGAACACCGAUUGCGUAGGCAGCUUACUAGGCUGUAACUGACGCUGAGGCACGAAAGCGUGGGGAGCGAACAGG
rnacentral:rRNA from 1 species